UACGGAGGUCUCAAGCGUUGUUCGGAUUCAUUGGGCGUAAAGGGUGUGUAGGUGGCGCCGUAAGUCGGGUGUGAAAUUUCGGAGCUUAACUCCGAAACUGCAUUCGAUACUGCGGUGCUUGAGGACUGGAGAGGAGACUGGAAUUCAUGGUGUAGCAGUGAAAUGCGUAGAUAUCUGGAGGAAUACCGGUGGCGAAGGCGGCAUCCUGGACCGACACUGACGCUGAGGAGCGAAAGCCAGGGGAGCAAACGGG
rnacentral:rRNA from 1 species